AGAAGGAAGAGCAGGUUUCUCACGGCAUGUCAGCCCAGGGCUCCCACAUGUGGCCUCCCACCCUCAUCUUCACACAUUCUCACACCUUCCGGAGUACAGAGGCGAGUGGGGUGCAGAUGGUCCUCCCUACAUCGGCCUCCUGCCCCCAACAGGAUUCCUCACAUCCCAGGACCAGCUGGAAAAGGUGGUGAGAGUUGGAAAGAGACUGCUCAGUGAGGACUGCCCUGCGAACCAGCUUGGAUUCAUCCCGUUCACCUCCACGUUCUGCACUCGGGGCCGAGGGAAGGGAGGCAGCCCAGGCAGCUAGAGAACUUGAUGAAACACACUCAAUCUGAAUCUCGCUUGAUCGUCAUGCUGACCCAGUGAGGGUCAGGCAUCCUUUCCGACUACUCACUCAGCAGCGGAUCCCCACCCGCCUCUGACUCCCAGUGUCUUUCGGCUCCAACGUAAGUUCACCGAACGUCUAAGAGCUGAGGAUUCAAAGGCAUGUAAGACCGCCCCUGCCCUCAGCUGCAAGACCUGUCCGCGAUCCUACGAGCCCCAUUCCGCCCUCUUUCCCCGACCUUGGUCCCCCAUGGGCCCUACAACCAGGUCCCCGACUGACACCUUGACCAGCGAACACAGCAAACAGGCCCGCAGAUGCCGCAGGUCCUUCGGCACCGUCUCCAGGGCCAUCUUCGCCGAUGGGAAGAACAACAGGGAGAUAGACGACCACAGCCUGUGCACCCGCAGGAAGUAAAUAGCUCGUUACCCAGAAUGCCCACCACUUCCGGCGCUUAGACUUCCUCUUCCGGUGUGGGCGGACGCCAGCUCCGCCCCUACCCCCGCCAGAGGAGAUGGUUUCUCCCGCCAGCAGGCGGGGAGGCUGGGCGGCCGGCCGCCACCUGGGCCGGAGCGCGUCGCAGCCACCUGAGCCCGCCGAGGGCGCGGCGGAGGCUGUGUGGGGUAGUCAGCGGGCCCCCGGGGCGGGGGGGCGGCUGCGCUUGCGCGGGAGUGUGUCGGGCUGAGCCGCAGCGCCGAGACGCGGGCUG
rnacentral:lncRNA from 1 species